UAAUACGGAGGGUGCAAGCGUUGUCCGGAUUUAUUGGGCGUAAAGGGCGUGUAGGCGGCCUGGAAAGUCUGGUGUGAAAGCCCUCGGCUUAACCGAGGAAGUGCAUUAGAAACUGUCGGGCUUGAGUGCGGGAGAGGGAGGUGGAAUUCCCAGUGUAGCGGUGAAAUGCGUAGAUAUUGGGAGGAACACCAGUUGCGAAGGCGGCCUCCUGGACCGUCACUGACGCUGAUACGCGAAAGCGUGGGGAGCAAACAGGAUUAGAUACCCUGGUAGUCCACGCUGUAAACGGUGAGCACUAGGUGUUGGGGGUAUCGACCCCUCCAGUGCCGAAGUUAACACAUUAAGUGCUCCGCCUGGGAAGUACGGUCGCAAGAUUA
rnacentral:rRNA from 1 species